UGUUUUUUUUCCUUCAGCAGUGUCUUUUAACACAGGCUUUAUUAAUACUGACAGACAGGGAAGCGGCUUUUUGUACCACCUGGUUCGAGCCUCGGCCCGUUUGACCUUCUCUCCAGUGCUGAAAAUGCAAACCACCAUAAAGAUAUUAAAAUCUGAGAUGUAGGGCAUUACCUCAGAUGUGAGGGUUUUGAAAUGAAGAGAUCACAUGGAUAGAGGGGUAUCAUACAUCAAAUGCUACAGCCUGGCAUGUUCACAUCAAAGAGCCGCAUCUGUUUCAUGACAUGAUGAGGACCCAGUCCCAUGAGGCAGCGAGGAGGAGGACAUGACAGUCCUCAUCUUGUCCUCGUUCAUCGUCUGAGUGUCUUCACACUGUAUGGCAGCGUUCCAACCUCACGCCACCUACCUGGGAGCUGUUCAAAUCUGCCAUUUCCAGGA